GUACGUAGGGUGCCAAAGCGUUUGAUCCGGAAAUUAUUGGGCGUAAAGAGCUUCGUAGGCGGUUUGUCACGUCUGCUGAUGAAAACUGGAGGCUCAACCUCCAGCCUGCAGUGGGUACGGGCAGACUAGAGUGCGGUAGGGGAGAUUGGAAUUCCUGGUGUAGCGGUGGAAUGCGCAGAUAUCGUUUGGAACGCCGAUGGUGAAAACAGGUCGCUGGGGCUGUGCUGACGCUGAGACACGAAAGCCAGGGGAGCGAACGGG
rnacentral:rRNA from 1 species